rnacentral:lncRNA from 1 species
UUGCACAGCUGUACAAUAUGUUUAUGUUUUAAGGUAAGUGGUAUUACAAAAUAGUUGUUUUUAAAAUUGUUUAAGUUUAUAAAUUUUAAAUGUUACAGUAGGCUAAGGUUAAUUGUUGAGUAAAUAAAAAUAGAUUUCUAUAAAUUUAGGGUAGUCUAAAGAUACAAUGUUCAUAAAGUCUAUAGUAGUGUACAGUAAGGUCCUAGGCCUUCACAUUCACUCACCAUUCACUCACCGAAUCAUCCAGAGCAACGUCCAGUCCUUUAAGCUCUGUUCAUGGUAAAGUGCCCUAUACAGAUGUACUAAUUUUUAUAUUUUAUACCAUAUUUUAUUGUAGCUUUUCUAUAUUUAGAUUUUAGAUAUAUAAAUGCUUACCGUUUUGUUACCUUUGCCUGCAGUAUUCAGUACAGUUACAUGUUGUACAGUUUGAAGCCCAGAGCAAUUGGCUGUAUCAUACAGCCUAGGUGUAUAGGGGGCUAUGCCAUCCAGGUUUAUGUAAGUGCACUCUAUGAUGUCUGCGUAAUUACUACAUCACUUAACGAUGCAUUUCUCAGAACACAUCACUGUCGUUAAGAGACACAUGUCUGUACAAAUGACUUUGGAGAAUAUGCUUUCAGUUCACUUGGAGCAUUCCUGGGUGUGGAUUUGCUGGACCAAAUGUGCAGACUUCAGUCUUAGACUUCCCAGCUGCCUUGAGGGAUUGGAUGAGCCUUGGCCAGCUCUUGAAGGAAACAAUAAAAUCACUUUAAUGUGCUACUUUUCAUUUUGAAGUCAUUACAGUAUCAUUUGCAAAACUCAACAAGGAAAGAUGCCUGUGGAUGGCCGUGUUCUGGGAGUCACUGUGAUGAGGUGCUGCCUGCUUUCGCCCAACCUGAUCUGGGGCUCAGACAGCUAACAGGCCCGAGUGGCUAGGAGCCAGGUUCUCACACGUCCCUGAGGAACUAGAGAGGAACGCCUCUGGGAAGCCCAGCCAGAGCCAACCGGAAGGGCCUUUUGGUGAAGUCUGACAUCCUACAUUAGUUUCUCUGGACCUGGCAGAGCUCCCUGGAUAAAUCAUGAACAGAAGCAUCUAUGACCGACAGUUGCUCUGUGUCCUUCUAGCCUCGCAGGAGUUUCCAGCUCAUGAGGGCAGAGGAGAUGAAGAGAGGCCGAUCGACGUGAGGGUUGUGCAGGCGGCCCCUCUGAGGUGUGACUCCAGUAAGUACUCUGGAAUUACUUGCUGAGAAAGAAAAGUCUGGAUGCCAAGAAAGGUGUGACAUCCUUGCUGGCUUCAAUGUGAAGAGCCACCCUGAUUCUGGGAUUCUGAUAGGAAUAAGGAUGAUGCAUAUCUGAACCUGGAAACCGCUUCCCACUGUAGAGCGUGUCUGAGUCAUGUCCCUUAGCUUCAGCAGAGCAGAUCCAGCAGGCUCUGAGCUUGGCCUCUUUGCCUGGAGCGAGACCUCUAGGUAAUGUCUCCAGAGAGGGUGGCACAAAGGAUCCUGGAUCUCCUGAUCACAGCAGCCCAAGAGUGCCGUGCGUGCACCAUGGCUCAAGAAGAAGACUUAAAAAGGGGAAA